CCCGUGAUAGCUCAGUUGGUAGAGCGGAGGACUGUAGUAUGUAUUAUUGAUAUCCUUAGGUCGGUGGUUCAAAUCCGCCUCGCGGGA
rfam:Crassostrea gigas strain 05x7-T-G4-1.051#20 contig14246, whole genome shotgun sequence.